ACCAGCUGACACAGGGUUCCUGGAACCCCUGGACUUUCCUGGAUGACGGUGGUGACUUCUGUGCUAAUGAGAGACUCCGGCAGCUCCCGGAUGAGGGACAGUCACCAGAAAGACCAGGCCAUGACUAGAACUUCGGACUUUUCAGACCCACUGCCCCACCCCCCAGAAAGGGGAAGGGGGCCAGAAACGGAGGCAGUCCUCGGUCGUGCCCACGUGAGGAAGCCUCCAUAGACAUUGCCAUCGGACAGGGUUCGGGGAGCUUCUAGGAUACUUUUUCUGUUCUUCAGAAUACAUUUCCUGCUCCUUGGAGGACAGGGCUUUUGAAAACAGAAGCCAAGAAGAUGCCCGCACACCUGUCUCCCAGGUCCCCUCCCCAGCAGAAAGGGGCACAGGAUCGACUAACUGACGAUGUGGAAGAGACGCAAGGCAGUGCAGGGAAGAAAGAAAAGGCCGCAUUCGUAUCUGAAAAUCCACAACGUAAUUGCUGUUUGUGUUCCAGUCAGCAAGGUCGGCUCCGCAGCAGAAUUCCUAGUUCGGCGACAUCAUGCCAUGUGGUCACUUUGGCAGGGAGUAAGAGAGCCUUCCCCAGCACAGCUCCUCAGCCUGUGCCACCCGGACAAGCAAACCGGGCUCUCUGUGAGUGUACCACGCCCUUUCCCCCCUUCUACGUGGUGCAGCCGAAGUUCAUUCAAAUACAAGAGGCUAAUUGAGGAAAACCACACAACCCUUUGAAGAAAAAUUACACAAAGCUAACUUUUAUUGACUCUAGGAGGUAGAUCAAAAAUUCAUUAACUCAGAAAAGAAUGAGCCUGUUCAGUGUUUCAGCCAGAUUCACGU